rnacentral:rRNA from 1 species
CCUACGGGGGGCUGCAGUGGGGAAUAUUGGACAAUGGGGGCAACCCUGAUCCAGCCAUGCCGCGUGUGUGAAGAAGGCCCUCGGGUUGUAAAGCACUUUCAGUGAGGAAGAACGCCUGGUGGUUAAUACCCAUCAGGAAAGACAUCACUCACAGAAGAAGCACCGGCUAACUCCGUGCCAGCAGCCGCGGUAAUACGGAGGGUGCGAGCGUUAAUCGGAAUUACUGGGCGUAAAGCGCGCGUAGGUGGCUUGAUAAGCCGGUUGUGAAAGCCCCGGGCUCGACCUGGGAACGGCAUCCGGAACUGUCAAGCUAGAGUGCAGGAGAGGAAGGUAGAAUUCCCGGUGUAGCGGUGAAAUGCGUAGAGAUCGGGAGGAAUACCAGUGGCGAAGGCGGCCUUCUGGACUGACACUGACACUGAGGUGCGAAAGCGUGGGUAGCAAACAGGAUUAGAUACCCUUGUAGUC